GAUGAACGCUAGCGGCGUGCCUAAUACAUGCAAGUAGAACGCUGAAGGAAGGAGCUUGCUCUUUCCGGAUGAGUUGCGAACGGGUGAGUAACGCGUAGGUAACCUGCCUGGUAGCGGGGGAUAACUAUUGGAAACGAUAGCUAAUACCGCAUAACAGUAGAUGUUGCAUGACAACUAUUUGAAAGGGGCAAUUGCUCCACUACCAGAUGGACCUGCGUUGUAUUAGCUAGUUGGUGAGGUAACGGCUCACCAAGGCGACGAUACAUAGCCGACCUGAGAGGGUGAUCGGCCACACUGGGACUGAGACACGGCCCAGACUCCUACGGGAGGCAGCAGUAGGGAAUCUUCGGCAAUGGACGGAAGUCUGACCGAGCAACGCCGCGUGAGUGAAGAAGGUUUUCGGAUCGUAAAGCUCUGUUGUAAGAGAAGAACGAGUGUGAGAGUGGAAAGUUCACACUGUGACGGUAUCUUACCAGAAAGGGACGGCUAACUACGUG
rnacentral:rRNA from 1 species